rnacentral:rRNA from 1 species
UUCGCAAUGCCCGAAAGGGUGACGAAGCGACGCCGCGUGCGGGAGGAAGGCCUUCGGGUUGUAAACCGCUGUCGGGAGUUAAGAAAUGCAAGAAUGUUAAUAGCGUUCUUGCUUGACUAAGGCUCCGGAGGAAGCCACGGCUAACUCUGUGCCAGCAGCCGCGGUAAUACAGAGGCGGCAAGCGUUGUUCGGAAUUAUUGGGCGUAAAGAGCACGUAGGCGGCUGUGUAAGUCGGUUGUGAAAGCCUUCCGCUCAACGGAAGAACGGCAUCCGAUACUGCAUGGCUUGAGUGUGGGAGGGGAGAGUGGAACUUCUGGUGGAGCGGUGAAAUGCGUAGAUAUCAGAAGGAACACCGGCGGCGAAGGCGACUCUCUGGUCCAUAACUGACGCUGAGUGUGCGAAAGCUAGGGGAGCAAACGGGAUUAGAUACCCCGGUAGUCCUAGCCGUAAACGAUGGGCACUAAGUAGAGGGGUUUU